rnacentral:lncRNA from 10 species
UAUAAAGAAAUUAACUCAGGUUUCUGCUAUUACUUUAUUACUUUCAUGGUUUCAUUUUUACAUUUAGCUCCCUGAUCUACUUGGAGUUUAUUUUUGUGUUUAAUGUGAAGUGUAAACCAAAUUUUAUUCUGUUGAUAUAGUAAUCCCAUUUCUUCAGAACUGUUUAGAAAAUGUUUAUAUUUCCCUAGUUAUUUAAGAUGCCACCUAUAUUCCUGUGUACCUAGGACUAUUUCUGGACUUUUAUUCUAUUCCACUGGUGUGUCUGACUAUUCUUGUUCUAAUACCACAUUGGUUUACUAGAUUGUGCUAUCUGGUAAGUCUAGUGUCCCUAACUGCUUUCUUUUUCAAUUUUUUCCUAAUUAUUUGUUCUUGUUAUUUUGCCAUAUAAGCCCUAGUAACUAGAAAGUUUGUGAUAUAGUUACUGAUAUUUAGUGAAUUUAUAAUUUAAGGAAAGCAGAAAUAUUUUUCAUAUGGGUUUUAUAUAUUCCUUGUUAAGUUUAUUUGUAAAAUUUUUCUUUUUUAUUUCUAUCGUGUGUAUGAUUUUCUUUACCAUUAAAUCCCCUAACUGGUUAUCAUUUUAUUAAGGUUAUAGAUUUCUUUACGUUAUGUCAGCUACCUUAUUAAACUCUUACUGUUUGAGUAUGUUAGUUUUAUUAUUGCUUCCCUAAGGUUUCUUAAGAACACUUCCAUGUCAUCUGAAAAUGGUUAUUGAUUUCUUUUAUAUAGCUGCAUUGGCUAUUAAUCCAAUAUUAAAUUGUAGCAGAUAUGGUGGUACAUUUUUGUCCUGAUCUUAGUGAAAAUGUUGCUAGGGCUUCCCCAUUUCUUAGUAUCUUAAGAUGCUGGCUUUAUGAAUGAGGUUAAUGCAUUUUAUCAGGCUAAGGAAGUAUCCAUCAAUUCAUUCUUGUAGUUUUCUUGUUUUGAAAUCAGCAAGGAGUGUAGAAUAUGUCAAAGUUUUUUGUUUUAUUUUGUUUUUCUCAUGCAUCUAUGAAGAUUAAUCAUCUUAUAAGUGAUGUUUUUCUGUAAUUUUCUUUUUGUACUGUCUUUAUCAAAUUGUUAAAGAUUUGGUAGAAUUUAUUUGUGUGUUCACCUAGGCUUUCUCUAUUUAUUUUAUAGAAGUUAGUAAGUUUGGGAAAAUAGGCAGCCCUAAUAUAUCAUCUAUUUAAUCUAUAAAAGCAGUCAGGCCUCUGUGAUCGGUAGGGCCCAGGGCAAGAACACAAAUGGAGAUCUAUAUAAUGUCUCUAAAUAUUUCAGAGUUAUAAACUAAGCAAUAAACUGUGAAUAAUGUGUUUUGUCUUUCUACUUUGAUACAUACAUCUUCACAUGGGUCUGUAAGGCCAAGUUUGAGUUUAGAAUUCUCAUAUUCCUCACUGUUUUGUUCUGGAUCAUAAUGGCAUGGAGAAUGGCAAUCACAACCAACUCAUUUGAUUUGCUUUUUCUUCUUCCAGUGGGUAGCCACAGUAGAUGUGUGUAUACAUCUGAGACCACAUGACCAUUGUCUUCUCAUGUCACUGUCUCCACAAAGAGCUGCCUAUUGUCCAUUCCAUGGGCAGUUAGUCCUUAGGAGUACUAGCCUGCGAUGGGGGCCCCUAGGGUCUCUGGAAAUGGGUUUACGUUUAUUUGAGCAUGAUAUUUCAGAGUGCAAUAUACUCAGAGCAUGGUCGAGAAGGGGUAACAUGGAUUUGGUGUGGAAAUUCCACUUGGCCCUGUGAAAUCCUUGUCUCUUGGAGAGAGGUAAGUCUUGAAGAAUGUCAGAGUGGUCCCGUAAGUAUAACCAGGCCCUCAUACAACCUAUACAAGGUUGCCUGAGUCCAAAGGGAGUAGUAUUACAGAGUAAAGCAAAAUGGUUUUGCCUAUCAAAUUUGUGUGUUUUGCAUUGGAGCAGAAAAUGUAAAAAGAAAGAACAAGUUAAAGGGAGGAACAAGCCUUCUCUUGCUAGGCUGACUCACUCCAAGACCUACGAUAGGCAGCAGAGCUCUGAAAAGGAUUUAAUAACAUUAUCUGCAAAACCAGAGCCCUCAAGGAAUGUGCUCUAGAGCCCCCUCUCCUCCCAGUUAGGAGCAAAAAAACAGGUUUUUCUCCUCUCCCAGCUCCCCUCCUUUUUGUAAAUCCUUCCUUAGUGAAACUCAAGGUUCCUUCACAAAGUUUUACAGAUUCCCGUUUCUCUUCUGUGUAACAUAAAAAGGUCACAAGACAUGCUUGAGUAAGACAGGUACCAGCUGUAAACCCUGCCUUAGCUUGAUAAGUUCCUGUUUUUCCUCAAGUUGCAAAACCUGUCACAGUAUGAUUAACUGCCUUUGUUCUGCUUCUGUAAGCCCGUUUGCCUGCCCUGUAAGUUUUGCGCCACUAGAUGGCCUACCCCCUUGGUUGCAUGUAUAAAAGUCAAGCCCUGUCUUUGUUCAGGGCUCAGCUUUUUCAAUGUGAAUCUGCUGGGCCUGAGUGCACUCAAUAAAUCACCCUAUUUCACCUGUUUGGUCUCUCCAGUCCUCUGAUUCCUGCAGUAUUUUUCUGGGGGCUCCUGUGGGAUUGGAGAUGACAGGUUUACUGUCUCCUUUGCCUGUGGGACUUGAACCCCAGGCAAGGGGAGACCCAUGACCCCUGGUGCCAUCAGAAGAACUUCAACGCAGAGAGGAGAUUGGCUGUCCUGCAACUCAGUGCCCUUCCCUGAUAGUGCAACGAAAUCUAAGGGGCUGUAGGACGAUUCUUGGGACAGUGUGCUUCAGGACCAUGGAAAGAUGAUGAAAGAAGGGCUAGCCUGAAAGAAACUUCUGCCUUCUUUGGAAAUGAGAUGCAAAAAGUAUGGCUCCCUGCUACAACAAAAAUGGAUCCCCCAAGGAGGACAUAACUGGAAUUGCUGUCAUUGUUACCCCUUUGAAAAUCUCAGCCAGCUAGAGGACCAGAGACAUUCUCAUCAAGAUUAAAGCCAGAGCAACCACCACCAACAAAUGAUGACAAAUCCCUGCCAGGAUUGGAGUGGGUUUGAAUGGCAUAGCUGGCCCCUGGUACUCCUGAGUGGUUAGAUCGUCAGUCUUACCUGUUCAUUUUGUUAACCUCAUAGUAGUACAGCAACAUAUUUUACUUGUUUGAAUUGUUUGUGUUAGAAUCAGGUAUUAACCUUGUAGGCAACAUGGAUAAUAUAUUUCUGUAGUUCAACAUAAUUUCCAUUUUAAAUUCACAAUUUAUUAGAGCAGCAGAAAAUAAUGUCAAUAAAAUUGAAGCCUCUUUUUCUUAAGGGAUUGUGCCUAAGGAGCUUACUUAAUUCCAAGACUGGGUGUGUGGUGAGGAGGGGAGAAAAUGGAGAGGACGCUAUGCCUCAUUAUUUCCUAAGAUGCUCAUCAUUCCAAAUGAUCAUCCAUCACUGGUCUUAAGGUCACUUUUGUCUUCUGGUCUCUUUGGGUCUGAAAGAUCUCUGCUAUGUCCAUUAUUCAGGUGGGGGUUUGGAAAUAACUGCAACCUAUCUAGAAACUCAUCUGCCAAAUGAACUUCGCAACAAUUUCCUAUGUGGGGGCAUAUCACCUUCCUGAGACUCUGCCUGAGGUAAAGGCACAGAGCCUCACUCCCUUGAUCAAGCUUCCUUCCAUCCUUCUUACUCCAACCUGUUUUCUGUUUGCCACAGAAAUCUCACCUUCUUUCAGAGACACAAAGGGAACUCUACCCCAAGAUCAAUUUUAUAAAGGCUCAUAAUUCCAGUUCUCUCUUGAUAAUAGAGCAGUCUCGAAAUCAGUUACUAAAUGUAGGGUGGAUUAAUUUUAGAUCUUGUGUAUAGGACUUGGUCUGAAUCCUUUAAAAUCGUAGGUAUAUACUUUACAUAAGCCUUACCCCAAGGGCAGCCAUAAUUUUCUUUCAACCAUAUUUUGUAGGCUGGUGAGUCCUGCACCUGCCCCAAGUUUCAGGCAAUUAACUUGACUGUGGUCUCCUGCCAUGCACACUGAGCUUUAGCUCUCAUUAAUCUGUGGGAGACAAAUUCUAGCUUCCUCUAGACUGAGAACCAGCAGGCCUAGCUCCAGUCUCUAAUCACUAACUUAUCACUGUGACAUUUUUUUCCCUUUCUGGUCUGUGGAGAUAUUUCUCUUCUUUUGAGUUUACCAUAUCUUAGUCAUUUUGCCAUUCUUUAAAAUUAUUCUUUGACUGCUAAGCUUGGAGUUGAUGGAGAAGUUCAAGCCUAAACUCAUAAUGUCAUCCUGACCCUUGGUCCCAAACUGUUGGUAUCUGAUUAUCUAGUUCUCAGGGUGAAUUUGGAUAUUUGUAGACUUGAAGGCCCAAAUAGACAAGUGGACACUCCAUGUUAAUCAUAGCCCAACUUAUCCUAGAAAGAAAAUUAAGUUUAAUUAAGUUCCUCAAUAUAUUUCACCUAAGAUGCAAGAACAAAUAAACCCUGAAAAAUAUUUUUUAUAGUGAAGCCCUUGCUCAGAGAAAAAACAGAACAAAACCUCAAGAACUGUGAUUAAUUAUACUAAAGGAUAUUUUCAGGCAUGGACUUGUCUUGAAAACGUGCUGUUGGGCCUAAUUGUAUUUACAGUUCACACUCAUAUAUAGAGCACUGGUAGACCAGUCAGUGAGUGAAUGAUUAUAGUCCUAUUUUUGGCUUGAACAUUCAUCAAUGUGUGAGUGUUGGCAGGAAAGCCACUAAACUUUUCACAGUAUGUCUUCUCAUUGUAAAAUGGAAAUAUUAAUUCCUGCCAUUAUUGUGGUAUGGUUAUGAAGAACAAACAAAACACAGCCAAAUGAUGCUAUAAAUCUGUUUUGAGAUUAUCCCUGGCACAUUUACCUAGUAAAAUUUUGCAUUCAUUUUGCAUAGUAAAAUGAAUAGUUGUUAUUUUAAAAGAGGGUAAAAAAAAUAAGCUAAGUAAUUCAAGAAUCUAAAAACAACUAUAAAAUAAGCAAUACAUUAAACAAAUAUUAAAAUUACUUAACCAAAAAGAAAGCUAUUUUGUUUAAAAGAUUAGUAGAAUUAAGACGAGAUUUUAAAUGUCUCUUUCUACUGAGGUUAAUGCUAAAAAAUUGUAUCUUUGAGUUUUUUUUUCUUUUUUUAGAAAAUGAUAGUGGAAAAAUUUUUAUCAGAAGAAAGCUUAAAAGCAUAGGUAAAAUUAGCCUUUUUUUCUAGAGAAAAUAUAAGUAUCAAAAAUGACAGAAGGAAUAGAUCAAUUAAAUACUGUAAAGAGUAUAUAGCUAAAAAUAAUCAAUUCCCAAUGUCUCAAAAUUCACCUUAUAGUACUAAUUAUAACUGUGGCCAAAUCUCCAAGGUACAGAUAAUGCUUAUAUAUUAUGACCUUUCCAGACACUAUAAAAAGAGGACAACCUGUCAAGAAAGUUUAUUACUAUCUUUGGUUUUUCAUGUUAUGAUUGUUUAUCUGCUAAGAAAUUAUUGGAACUGUUAUUACAGUUUGUUAUUAAUGCCAAAAAUUAGAUCGAUAUGCAAAGGCCAAUGGAAGAAAUAGUUAGCAACAAUAAGAGAAAAAAGUAUAUAGAGAAAAAAUAUCUAAAAUAUCAGAAAAACCUUUAUGAUAUCAAAGAAUGUAAUAAAAGUAAAACCAUUAUAGAAUAAUAAUUUUUAAAAUAUUUGUGAAAGAUAUGUAUGAAUACCAAAACAGGUGGUAAAAAUCUUGUUAUGGAUAAGAAAAUUCACGGCCAUAAAGCUGUCAAUUUUUUUCAAAAUUAAAGGGCAACCUCCCUCUAGGAUUUUUAAUGUACAUACUAACUUGGUGCAAAAGUCAUUGCAGUUUUUGCCAUUACUUUAAUAGCAAAAACUAAAAAUAACCAAAAUGUCUGGUAGGGGGUCUGCCUGAGCAAGUAUUAAAACAUAAGUAACAAUAAUUAAAGCAGCAUUAUAUUGGCACAGAAAUAGGUAUGAAGGAAUUAAGAGCUGAGGUAGAGUCUCAAGUUUAUACAUAAUUUUUUAUUGUUGAACAAUUCUAUGGAGAUAAGUUUUGCAUACAAAAAUUUCAUGUUUAAAGAAAUAAUUUGGUGUUUUGAGAUAUGUAUUUAUGCAUGUUAAAAAAUUGAUCACUCACAAAAAUUUCCUCCACUUUGUACUCUCUUUCUUAGAGUCCUUCCCAUUCUAGGAAGCCAAUGAUUGUCUUUCUAUCAUUAGAGACUAGUUUGCAUUUUUAAGCAUUUUAUAUGAAUGGAGUAAUACAAUGCAUACUCUCAUUUUGUCUGGCUUAUUUCACUCAGUGUAAGAGAUGUCUCAAACCUGUUGCCAACAGUUUUGCAUCAAUAGUUAAUUCUUUUCAUUGCUGAGUAGUAUUCCAUUGUAUAGAUGUAUCAUAAUUUAUCUGCUUACACACUGAUGGACAUUUGGAUUCUUUCCAGUUUUUGGCUAUUAUCAUAAAAGUUUCUUGAAGAAUUUUAUAAAAGUCUUGGUAUGAAUAUUUUCAUUCAUUUCUGCUGGGUACAAACUUAGGAGUGGAGUGUCUGGAACAUAUGGUAGAUGCAUGUUUAACAUUUUAAGAAACUGCCAAAUCAUUUUCCAAAAUACAUGUAUUACUAGGAUAAGUUAGAGUGAAUUAUCUCCAUACCCUCUUGAAAUAGGUUGACCAUGUCAAUCUAUUUUUAUGUAGUCAUUAUACUGAGUGUGCAGUGGUAUGGCCAUGUCAAUCUAUUUUUAUGUAGUCAUUAUACUGAGUGUGCAGUGGUAUGGCCAUGUCAAUCUAUUUUUAUGUAGUCAUUAUACUGAGUGUGCAGUGGUACCUAAUUUUGGUUUCAGCGACUAAGGGGUUGAGC